GUUGUGCACUUGAUUAUAUGAGUUUGUUAGAAAAACCACUUUCCUUUGCUCCUAGCGCCUUCUCGUUCGCUGUAUAGCGUUUUGAGCGGAUAAAGAGCACAAGUGUGUAAGGAGACACAGGAUGAAUGGGAACUAGUUUUGUAAUUGUACUUUUGAUGAAAAGUCACUUUCUAGACAUAAAAUGUCACUUUUUUCACCUUAUCAUACUUUUUCAUCAACUUUUGCAUUUUAAUGUAAACAAUCAUAUUUCGUAAUAUUUUGGGUCAGAAACAUUUCAUAGUACUAUAUUAUGUCUAACUAUGUGAAAAAUAUCAAAUUGGAGUAGGUCAGUGCAACUGAUUAUAUGAGUUUGUUAGAAAAACCACUUUCCUUUGCUCCUAGCGCCUUCUCGUUCGCUGUAUAGCGUUUUGAGCGGAUAAAGAGCACAAGUGUGCAUGGAGACACAGGAUGAAUGGGAACUAGUUUUGUUAUUGUACUUUUGAUGAAAAGUGACUUUCUAGACAUAAAUUGUCACUUUUUUCCCCUUAUCAUACUUUAUCAUCAACUUUUACAUUUUAAUGUAAACAAUCAUAUUUCGUAUUAUUUUAGGUCAGAAACAUUUCAUAGUACUAUAUUAUGUCUAAAUAUGUGAAAAAUAUCAUAUUGCAGUAGGUCGGGCAAUUGAUUAUAUGAGUUUGUUAGAAAAACCACUUUCCUUUGCUCCUACCGCCUUCUCAAGCGCUGUAUAGCGUUUUGAGCGUAUAAAGAGCACAAGUGUGUAUGGCGACAAGAGAUAUGUGGGAACUAGUUUUGUUAUUGUACUUUUGAUGAAAAGUGACUUUCUAGACAUAAAUUGUCACUUUUUUCACCUUAUCAUACUUUAUCAUCAACUUUUACAUUUUAAUGUAAACAAUCAUAUUUCGUAUUAUUUUAGGUCAGAAACAUUUCAUAGUACUAUAUUAUGUCUAAAUAUGUGAAAAAUAUCAUAUUGCAGUAGGUCGGGCAAUUGAUUAUAUGAGUUUGUUUGAAAAACCACUUUCCUUUGCUCCUAGC
ensembl:lncRNA